ACCAACUCUGACAUGCGAUCGAGGGGGGUACCAGGGGGUGGAUUUUGCCAGAACCCUCAAAUAAACUCACCUAAUGGGCGGGGAAGGAACAUGUUGCAGGUUGCACCUCGCAACUGUGCAUUGUUUUUCGGAAAGGCUCCACAAGACAGCUUUAUGUGCAUUAACUCGAUCAACUACGUCAGAGAUUGCAAUUAAAUGCAUACCCCAAUGUUGCCAACACGACACCAGAUCACUUUGUUCACAGCAGAGGUCUUAUUAUCAGAGCCAG